rnacentral:rRNA from 1 species
CCUACGGGAGGCAGCAGUGGGGAAUAUUGCGCAAUGGGCGAAAGCCUGACGCAGCGACGCCGCGUGAGGGAUGAAGGUCUUCGGAUCGUAAACCUCUGUCAGCAGGGAAGAACGGUCACUGUGCUAAUCAGCAGUGAAUUGACGGUACCUGCAAAGGAAGCACCGGCUAACUCCGUGCCAGCAGCCGCGGUAAUACGGAGGGUGCGAGCGUUAAUCGGAAUUACUGGGCGUAAAGCGCUCGUAGGCGGUAUGUCAAGUCAAGGGUGAAAUCCCCGCGCUCAACGUGGGAACUGCCUUUGAACCUGGCAAACGGGGGUGUGUGGGAGGAUAGGGGAAGUCCAGGGGAAGGAGUGAA